UGUACCUCAAACAGUGCCCAAAGCUACGUGUGGGAAGUGAAAUGGAUAAAGUCAAAGCAAUUAUUCAUUUGCUUAAUUAGAAGUGGUUUCAUGGAUAUUUUUACAAACCAGAGGCUCUGUCAUGUUUUUUCCUAAGAUCAUCAAGACAUAACAGAACCACUCCCAGACCUUGUCUAAUUGGACACCCUCUUAUGAAUCCUAAUAAUGAUAGUGUUCACAGGGGACACGUGUAUCAUCUCCCCAUAUUUGAAUGACCACAUCUUGAAUGCCUGGCUCCUGAAGCAUCUGUCAUCCAGGAUCCACACGGAGAAGGAAGAAGGGAAGAAUCUGAGGACCAGCUAUGCUGCUGGUUGGGUGAACACUCAGUGCCUGGCUGUUUCCCUUCCUUCCCCCUCCCCGCUUUGUGUCAGCUGAUAGUAUCAGUGAUGCAGCUUUCUACACCGAUCAAAAUGCAGGCAUCCCCUUUGUGGAGAAGGCUGUCCUGUCUGUCAAAAAGCCUGAAGCAUUUAGAAAAGCUAAUUAAAACCACCAAGGAUGAAGAUGAGAUUUAUAAAUUCCACUUGUCAAUUCUGAGAGACUUGUGAGACCUCUGAUGUCAUGAAAAAAAAAAGAGAGACUGGUUUGAUGGAUUUUAAGAAAUGUAUGAAAAUCUUUAACGUCAUGUUACUCCUUCCCCAAAUUUUCAUAUAAAUGAGAGAUUUGCAGGUUUGGCAUUAAUAAUACAGUUAAUGUUGAAGACUGGCUUGCCGUAAUACAUGUCAAAAGUAUUAUGAUGGGUCGGAUUAUGAAACAAAGGCAAGUUCACAA